GGGAAUGUGUAGUGGUUUGAGUGCUGGACUAUGACUCUGGAGACCAGGGUUCGAUUCCCAGCUCAGCCA